rnacentral:rRNA from 1 species
AUUGAACGCUGGCGGCAUGCUUUGCACAUGCAAGUCGAACGGCAGCGCGGGGCAACCUGGCGGCGAGUGGCGAACGGGUGAGUAAAACAUCGGAACGUACCCAGAAGUGGGGGAUAACGUAGCGAAAGUUACGCUAAUACCGCAUACGUUCUACGGAAGAAAGUGGGGGACCUUCGGGCCUCAUGCUUUUGGAGCGGCCGAUGUCUGAUUAGCUAGUUGGUGAGGUAAAGGCUCACCAAGGCGACGAUCAGUAGCUGGUCUGAGAGGACGACCAGCCACACUGGGAAUGAGACACGGCCCAGACUCCUACGGGAGGCAGCAGUGGGGAAUUUUGGACAAUGGGCGCAAGCCUGAUCCAGCAAUGCCGCGUGAGUGAAGAAGGCCUUCGGGUUGUAAAGCUCUUUUGUCAGGGAAGAAACGGCUGGGGUCAAUACCUUCGGCUAAUGACGGUACCUGAAGAAUAAGCACCGGCUAACUACGUGCCAGCCGCCGUAAUAC